rnacentral:rRNA from 1 species
CCCUUUUCUACGGAAUAGCCUUUGGAAACGAAGAGUAAUACCGUAUACGCCCUUUGGGGGAAAGAUUUAUCGGAGAAGGAUCGGCCCGCGUUAGAUUAGAUAGUUGGUGGGGUAACGGCCUACCAAGUCUACGAUCUAUAGCUGGUUUUAGAGGAUGAUCAGCAACACUGGGACUGAGACACGGCCCAGACUCCUACGGGAGGCAGCAGUGGGGAAUCUUAGACAAUGGGCGCAAGCCUGAUCUAGCCAUGCCGCGUGAGUGAUGAAGGCCUUAGGGUCGUAAAGCUCUUUCGCCUGUGAUGAUAAUGACAGUAGCAGGUAAAGAAACCCCGGCUAACUCCGUGCCAGCAGCCGCGGUAAUACGGAGGGGGUUAGCGUUGUUCGGAAUUACUGGGCGUAAAGCGCACGUAGGCGGAUUGGAAAGUUGGGGGUGAAAUCCCGGGGCUCAACCCCGGAACUGCCUCCAAAACUAUCAGUCUAGAGUUCGAGAGAGGUGAGUGGAAUUCCAAGUGUAGAGGUGAAAUUCGUAGAUAUUUGGAGGAACACCAGUGGCGAAGGCGGCUCACUGGCUCGAUACUGACGCUGAGGUGCGAAAGUGUGGGGAGCAAACAGGAUUAGAUACCCUGGUAGUCCACACCGUAAACGAUGAAUGCCAGUCGUCGGGCAGUAUACUGUUCGGUGACACACCUAACGGAUUAAGCAUUCCGCCUGGGGAGUACGGUCGCAAGAUUAAAACUCAAAGGAAUUGACGGGG